UACCUCUGUUGCUUUGGCGGGCCGCGGUUCUCCGCGGCCAGGCCCCCUGACCGGGGCAUGGCCUGCGCCCGCCAGAGGACCACAAAACUCCAGUCAGUGAACUUUGCUGUCUGAUUUAAAUUCAAUAAACUAAAACUUUCAACAACGGAUCUCUUGGUUCUGGCAUCGAUGUAGAACGCAGCGAAAUGCGAUAAGUAAUGUGAAUUGCAGAAUUCAGUGAAUCAUCGAAUCUUUGAACGCACAUUGCGCCCUUUGGUAUUCCGAAGGGCAUGCCUGUUCGAGCGUCAUUACACCCCUCAAGCUCUGCUUGGUGUUGGGCGGCGUCCUCCCGGACGCGCCUCAAAGACCUCGGCGGUGGCGUCUUGCCUCAAGCGUAGUAGAAAACACCUCGCUUUGGAGGACGGGACGACCGCUCGCCGGACGAACCUUCGAAUUCAUUUUCCUAGGUUGACCUCGGAUCAGGUAGGGAUACCCGCUGAAACUUAAGCAUAUCAAUA
rnacentral:rRNA from 1 species